GAUGAACGCUGGCGGCGUGCCUAACACAUGCAAGUCGAGCGAAUGAUGAGGAGCUUGCUCCUCUGAUUUAGCGGCGGACGGGUGAGUAACACGUGGGUAAUCUGCCUGUAAGACGGGAAUAACUCCGGGAAACCGGGGCUAAUACCGGAUAACAAGAGAAGAAGCAUUUCUUCUUUUUGAAAGUCGGUUUUGGCUGACACUUACAGCUUAGCCCGCGGCGCAUUAGCUAGUUGGUGAGGUAACGGCUCACCAAGGCGACGAUGCGUAGCCGACCUGAGAGGGUGAUCGGCCACACUGGGACUGAGACACGGACCAGACUCCUACGGGAGGCAGCAGUAGGGAAUCUUCGGCAAUGGGCGAAAGCCUGACCGAGCAACGCCGCGUGAGCGAUGAAGGCCUUCGGGUCGUAAAGCUCUGUUGUUAGAGAAGAACAAGUACGAGAGUAACUGCUCGUACCUUGACGGUACCUAACCAGAAAGCCACGGCUAACUACGUGCCAGCCGCCGCAGUAA
rnacentral:rRNA from 1 species